UACGGAGGGUGCAAGCGUUAUCCGGAUUUACUGGGUUUAAAGGGUGCGUAGGUGGAUUAGUAAGUCAGUGGUGAAAUCUCCGGGCUUAACCCGGAAACUGCCAUUGAUACUAUUAGUCUUGAAUAUCCUGGAGGUGAGCGGAAUAUGUCAUGUAGCGGUGAAAUGCUUAGAUAUGACAUAGAACACCAAUUGCGAAGGCAGCUCACUACGGGAUUAUUGACACUGAGGCACGAAAGCGUGGGGAUCAAACAGG
rnacentral:rRNA from 1 species